GCCUCAGCAGGCACUGCAGGAGAUCCCACAGCCUGGCCCCGGUCCUGCUGUGUUUUAUGAUGCACAACUUCACUGUCCUGAGCCUGGAAUAUUCUUGGACUAUGG